CCAAUAGCGUAUAUUAAGGUUGCUGCGGUUAAAAAGCUCGUAGUUGAAUUUCGGAAUUGAUGCAUCGGUCGUACCUUAAGGGGCAUGAACUGGUGUAGCCAAUUUCUCACCUUCUGGUGAAUUGUGAUGUUCUUAAUGGGUGUCUCAAUGAACUAGAAUUUUUUACUUUGAAAAAAUUAGAGUGUUUAAAGCAGGCAUUA
rnacentral:rRNA from 1 species